rnacentral:rRNA from 1 species
UACGUAGGGUGCAAGCGUUGUCCGGAAUUAUUGGGCGUAAAGAGCUCGUAGGCGGUCUGUCACGUCGGCUGUGAAAUCCCGAGGCUCAACCUCGGGUCUGCAGUCGAUACGGGCAAACUAGAGUAUUGCAGGGGAGACUGGAAUUCCUGGUGUAGCGGUGAAAUGCGCAGAUAUCAGGAGGAACACCGGUGGCGAAGGCGGGUCUCUGGGCCAAAACUGACGCUGAGGAGCGAAAGCGUGGGGAGCGAACAGG